AGAUAAAUCAAAAUAAAAUAAUUGGUAAGUCCCGAACUAAUAAAUUUUACGAUAAAAUUCGUAAAAUAAAAUUAAGGAGUUAAGAGUAAAUUUUAUAAAUUUGGACGAAAGUAUUUAAAUUAAAUGAAAUUUGAUUAUCGGAAAAGGAUAUAAAUAAAUUAUUUGGACUCGGAUAAUUAAAUAAUGCGAUGGAGUCCAUUAUUUAUCAAUAAAGAAUAAUCAUCAAGGUUCCAUUUAAAAAAAAAAACAAUUGGGAUAAAAUUGGAGAAGUGAAGAAUUGAAGGAUUAAGAUAUAAGAGGUGCAAAACUCAAGCACUUACAUAGACUUUUUCCCUACAAACUUAACAAAAAAAUGACACCUAAUUCCCUCCACCUCUUCAAGAUUUCUCUAGCUAAAGCUAAGAUCAGAAAUUAAAUUUAGAAACCCAAUUUUCUUAAGGAACACCGAAGGCUCCAUCUCCUCACCAUCACCAUCAUCGUUGUUCUUGCGCUCUCACCACUGCGGAAGCCAUAACUUAGCGAUUUGACCAUAACUUUCAAUGAUUCAAGCUCGGUUGCGAAGCUAACAUCCAUACGCUCAAGACCCGGCGAGACGAUUACUAACGGGACUCGGAACAUGACGAACGCGAUACCGUUUUACGAAUUCUCGAAGAUUAUGGUUAGCAAGUGUGUUUUAUUUCAGGUGAUAGUAUUUGAAGAGAUGGACUUCCAUUCUUGUUUCGGAAGUCUGCAAUAUAUAAAGUAUGUAUUGAAGUACGCUUCAAUUCGUAGCGCUGCAGUAGUCAGUAGAUGUCAGUCUAUAUUUGAUUGUUUAUAUCAAACAAGGUCCAGCUGUUAACUCUGAUUUUAUAAUAUAUACAUACACGGUUUAUAAAACUAUAUUUUUACCA